CUUAAGACAAACUAACUACUCAAGAUUAUGUAUCCCACACCUACCCCACCUCUAAGUUUAGCUUCAUUCAAUAUUAACUGCCUGUAAGCCUCUGUUGUGUGAACCCUAGGUAACACGAGAGCAAUGUCAAUCAAAAUGGAUUUGCCAGUUUUCCAGGGUAUUAUAUCCUGACACCAAAGGUGGUGCUCCUCUCAUUGUGUGUUUAUCCAUGGCAGCUACGCCUGUUCAUACUAACAAGGCGGUUACACCAUAAAGUGUGUGUCUUUGGAGACUCGCCUAUUCCCAUGUCAUCUCAACUGCCUCCUGUACCAGGACGUGCUCAGCAAUUACAGGGAUGCAGCCUGCAGCAAUGGUGUCCCUACACAACCCAUUAUUUGGAGGGAUUCUCCUUGUCAAGGUGUUACAGUGGAAGUAAUGGAGUUAAGUUUCGAUGUAAAGAAAGGCUCGUCUCAAUAGGGUCUUUCUCUCUCCUGCUAUUCAUGAUUUCCUUACAGAGUUACACCAGGAAAGCAGAGGGGGCAGUAGCAGUGGGGGGUGACAUUUUGUUCCCAGGGUCUGUAUUCGCUCAUUCCCACUGCUAACAAAUGCAAGAUGGAGACACAAAGACAUCAAAUUUCACCAAGACUAACUUUAUCAUGGGAAAUGUACAAGUCAUACGCAAAUUUCUGUCCCCA